rnacentral:rRNA from 1 species
GAUGAACGCUGGCGGCGUGCCUAAUACAUGCAAGUCGAGCGAACAGACGCUGAUCUUGCUCCUCUGACGUUAGCGGCGGACGGGUGAGUAACACGUGUAUACCCUACCUAUCAUACUGGUAUAACUACGGGAAUCCGGAGCUAAUACCGUAUAAUAUAUUGAACCGCAUUGUUGAAUAGUGAAAGACGGUGUUGCUGUAUCUUAUAGCUGCAUCCCCGCCGCAUUAGCUAGUUGGUAAGGUAAAGGGUUUCCAAGGCAACGAUGCGUAGCCGACCUGAGAGAGGGAUAGGCCACACUGGAACUGAGACAGGGUCCAGACUACUAAGGGAGGCAGCAGUAGGGAAUCGUCCGCAAUGGGCGAGAACCUGGCGGAGCAACGCCGCGUGAGAGGUGAAGGUCUUGGGAGCGUAAAACUGUGCUAUUAGUGAAGAACAAAUGUGUAAGGAGAUAUGCACGUAUUGACGGUAACGAGUAAGAAAGCCACGGCUAACUACGUG